CCCGGUGAUCUAGCCAUGGGCAGGUUGAAGGUUGGGUAACACUAACUGGAGGACCGAACCGACUAAUGUUGAAAAAUUAGCGGAUGACUUGUGGCUGGGGGGGAAAGGCCAAUCAAACCGGGAGAUAGCUGGUUCUCCCCGAAAGCUAUUUAGGUAGCGCCUCGUGAAUUCAUCUCCGGGGGUAGAGCACUGUUUCGGCAAGGGGGUCAUCCCGACUUACCAACCCGAUGCAAACUGCGAAUACCGGAGAAUGUUAUCACGGGAGACACACGGCGGGUGCUAACGUCCGUCGUGAAGAGGGAAACAACCCAGACCGCCAGCUAAGGUCCCAAAGUCAUGGUUAAGUGGGAAACGAUGUGGGAAGGCCCAGACAGCCAGGAUGUUGGCUUAGAAGCAGCCAUCAUUUAAAGAAAGCGUAAUAGCUCACUGGUCGAGUCGGCCUGCGCGGAAGAUGUAACGGGGCUAAACCAUGCACCGAAGCUGCGGCAGCGACGCUUAUGCGUUGUUGGGUA
rnacentral:rRNA from 1 species